rnacentral:lncRNA from 1 species
UUUUCCUUCUUUCAUAAUUCUAUAUUUUAUUUUACUUCAUCUAUAAUAAUAAUAAUAAUAAAGCUCUGCUCUGUUUUAAGUAUUAUAACUCCCGAUCACCGCUACCCUUUCCGAUUGAUCUGAGUCCCAUAACGCAUGUUAAGGCUCUGCCCGACUAAGUUCGUUUGGAUUCUAUCUCGGGACUUCGGGACAAGGUUGAAUUAGGGGUACUAUACUUAACACGAGUGCAUUAUAUUUUUUAUAGCCCAAAAGGUAUCCCCAAAAUUUAUACCAGGAGUCCUUCUAGUUGAACCCUAAAGUUACACAGUGGGUCCAUUCCUUUUUCUCACCAUUUUAUUCUCUUUUUGUGAAUUAUCCCAAAACUAUUAUUAUUUAUUAUUUCUAUUUUGUAAACAACUUUCAUCAAAAGUCAUGCCUAUUAUUUUAUUUACCCGAUAGGAAACCAUAGUUGAGACACCCAAGUAAUCCUGCACAACUCCUAAAAUAUUUUCAUAACAAUCAGAAUCGGGAUCAGGGCCCCUAAAACUCAGAGGAGGCAAUCCCCAUUCGAUAUUAUCUUCAAAGUCUGUUGUCAAAAUUUAAUUUUAAUAUUUCAUCGACUCAGCAAGCCUACACCCACACGUGGCCACCCUAUAGUGAAAAUGUGUCCCUUACGGACCGUAAGGGAUUAGGCUUACGGUCCGUAAGCCUGUCAAAAUUGGUGUAUAAAUAGCAGGCAUCGAGACUUGAUUUCUUGCAUUUGUACGACGAUCAAAUUCAAUUGGUACGUCGAGAUAUAGCCGAAACAGUCUCCAAAUCACUAAUUAGUAGAGGGGGUGCUGCUACGAUACAGGGUAUUAACUCGAUCGCUAUUACGAUUCAUUUUCCGACCGAUCAAUAUAUCCAAUGGAUGUUUAAGUGCCACCCACAUUAGGGUUAUACUUUGUCGUUCGUCGUUAAAUCGAUGGAUGUUUAAGUAUCGCACUUUGUCGUUCGUUGUGAGAAUUUGAUCUCGUGAGUUAUCGUAAUUGUUGUAUUAAGUUACCUACCUAGUUCGUAUGCACUAGGUUACAAGGCUAAAUCAAUAGGCUAAGCUCUGCCUGUGUAAAUCUGCAAUAUAUCAAGGCUUAUCUGUAGACCAAACUUUGGCCGUAUGAAUCUGCAUGAUUAUAAAUGGUAUUCUAACAGCUGAUGGAUCUUAAGUACUGCUCACUAUAACAACUGAUGAACCAAACACUGAUGAGAUUCUAAAGACUGCUGAAGACAAACAUUGUUGCUCUAUCUACUGCUGUUUCAUAAGUACAGCUGAAGACACAAGCACUGCCCAGUCAAAGACUGAUCACCUUUGAAGAAAGCACUAAAGCUCAACAUCAGUGCUCAGGCUACAACAGUGGAACAGUUGUUAUCUCUUGUUUUGUAUUGUACUUAUAAUCAGAUGUUACACAUCAGUAGUUUGUUUAAUACAGUGUUUAUAGAUUGUUAGUUUAUUAGAUGUCACUAUCAUGGUAACGUCAGCUGAGAUGCUUCAGUGGUUUGGUUUGCCUAUAAAUGGAGCAGUACCCUGUACUGUUACAUUUGAUUAACUGAGUGGUUUCUUCUCCUCCAGUCUAAUCCUUUCAUCUUGUGCAACCAACCUUGGGGUAUUAGGCUGAGGGGGAGCUUAGUUAUGUAAGCAUGCUUGUAAUCUUUUGAUUUUCAUUGUAAUCAUUCGACUCAAAGUAAAGCAAGUGUU